AUUGAACGCUGGCGGCAGGCCUAACACAUGCAAGUCGAACGAGUGGCGGACGGGUGGGUACUGUCUGGGAAACUGCCUGAUGUAGGGGGAUAACUCCUGUGAACGGUAGCUCAUACCGCAUACCAUCGGAUGUGCCCAGAUGUGAUUAUAUAGUAGGUGGGGUAACGGCGCACCGAGGCGACGAUCCCUAGCUGGUCUGAGAGGAUGACCAGCCACACUGGAACUGAGACACGGUCCAGACUCCUACGGGAGGCAGCAGUGGGGAAUAUUGCACAAUGGGCGAAAGCCGGAUGCAGCCAUGCCGCGUGUGUGAAGAAGGCCUUCGGGUUGUAAAGUACUUUCAGCGGGGAGGCGUUACUCGCAGAAGAAGCACCGGCUAACUCCGUGCCAGCAGCCGCGGUAAUAC
rnacentral:rRNA from 1 species